rnacentral:rRNA from 1 species
UGGGGAAUUUUGGACAAUUGGGCGAAAGCCUGAUCCAGCAAUGCCGCGUGUGUGAAGAAGGCCCUUCGGGUUGUAAAGCACUUUUGUCCGGAAAGAAAUCCUUGGCUCUAAUACAGUCGGGGGAUGACGGUACCGGAAGAAUAAGCACCGGCUAACUACGUGCCAGCAGCCGCGGUAAUACGUAGGGUGCAAGCGUUAAUCGGAAUUACUGGGCGUAAAGCGUGCGCAGGCGGUUUGCUAAGACCGAUGUGAAAUCCCCGGGCUCAACCUGGGAACUGCAUUGGUGACUGGCAGGCUAGAGUAUGGCAGAGGGGGGUAGAAUUCCACGUGUAGCAGUGAAAUGCGUAGAGAUGUGGAGGAAUACCGAUGGCGAAGGCAGCCCCCUGGGCCAAUACUGACGCUCAUGCACGAAAGCGUGGGGAGCAAACNGGAUUAGAUACCCUGGUAGUCCACGCCCUAAAACGAUGUCAACUAGUUGUU